UACGAAGGGGGCGAGCGUUGUUCGGAUUUACUGGGCGUAAAGGGCGCGUAGGCGGCCCUCCUUGUCGCGUGUGAAAGCCCCGGGCUCAACCUGGGAACGGCGCGCGAGACGGGGGGGCUGGAGUUCGGGAGAGGAGCGUGGAAUUCCCAGUGUAGAGGUGAAAUUCGUAGAUAUCGAGAGGAACACCUGCGGCGAAGGCGGGUUGCUGGGCCGACACUGACGCUGAUGCGCGAAAGCCAGGGGAGCGAACGGG
rnacentral:rRNA from 1 species